GGGUAACCUGCCCAAGAGAUCGGGAUAACACCUGGAAACAGAUGCUAAUACCGGAUAACAAUAGAUGAUGCCUAUCAACUGUUUAAAAGAUGGUUCUGCUAUCACUCUUGGAUGGACCUGCGGUGCAUUAGCUAGUUGGUAGGGUAACGGCCUACCAAGGCGAUGAUGCAUAGCCGAGUUGAGAGACUGAUCGGCCACAUUGGGACUGAGACACGGCCCAAACUCCUACGGAGGCAGCAGUG
rnacentral:rRNA from 1 species